AUUCAGCCCAAACAUUUGAAUCGUUGCUUAGAACGACAUCAAACACACCAUGUUGCUGCUGGUACUACAAUUGUGGCUUUAGUUAGAGGCACGACUCGGGCAUUUGAGGUAGUGUCUAAACGCACCUCGUGCAGCCAUUUAGCGGACUUGGUUGACUUGAAGUAUUCAAAGGUCUGCGAUAACGAACGUCGGCCUAGCUACGAUCUAUGAUAAUAUGUAAAUGAAUCGCCGUAAGCUCGUUGUUAUCAAUACUUCUAUUGUUAUCGCCGCUAUUAAUAGCCGAAUCAGCGAACAUUUAGUGAAUCUAGAACGGAUACGUAAGGCUCCGUAUUCGUUUUUAACGAAACUCAUCUACCACGACGGAAUCCCUAAGCUCAGGUUUUAUUCCGUGUCCAUCUAGCCCAAACGGCUGAGCCGUCAAUAGUUUUUCAGCAGUGCGGUUGGCGGAUGCAUUAGUUAAUACGUUAAGUUGUUAUUAUCAGUGUUCCGUAGGCUUCUCUAAAGCCACCAACGCCUAUGCCCCAAUGUCGUAUUCAGUAACGUUCAAGGAGUCUGCUCUACCCCUUCCAGCAAAAGUUCGCUUGCUCGGAGCGACAUCAACAGAAUCCAUAUCUUCUGCUUUGCGUGAAACCACACCAUCACCAUUAUUAUCAUCGUCGUCGUCGUCGCCGCCAUCAUCCUGGGCAAUCCAGUCAGGUUCUUCUGAAAGCAUUAGAAGCUCAGCACCGUCAGUUGCCCAACAAGCACUUGCCAGGAUCUUCUAGCGGACCCGGACAAGCCUGGACGAAUGACUCAGAUUUCAAGUUUUCUACAAUGAAUCAAUGGUCCAUAUGACCCACUACACCAUACAUUGGCGAGCUAUGCUACUCGUACUUCAAUCAUUUUCGUUUCGGAACUGCUUUCUAAGUAUCGGAAUCGCCUAUCUUCAGGCAAAUGUUGCCAUUUUGAUCGUUACCAUUAUCGUCAUCACCGGCACCACUUUUUUUUCUAAUAAAUCACCCUCCAGCAUAGCCAACGAUGAUAUGUGACUUUCGUACUCGGCUUUCAGCGCGCUCUUACGCUGACGGCUACCUCUAGUUGUUCAAUCCUCGCAAUUGCACUAAGCGGAUCGUCUUAUCUUACGUGCAAGUCUAAAGCAAGACUGACUGCAUCUUCCAGUAGCAGCAACAGUGGCGGCGGCGGCGGCGGCGAUUUUCAUCGCGUGCGCGUUUCGUCUGCUGGUUCAUAUUCAAAUAGGGGUCAUUCGAUGCCGUCCUUCUCUCCGCUGUGCCACUUUGCCCCCUUCCCCCUUCCUUUCGCUCUAGCGGCCCGUGAAAUUCUGCUUCAGAAGGAGGUUAAAGCCGCAGGCAAAGCGAACCGCUUCUCGAGAGCCACUGACUACUGAUUGCUAUACCCGUAGGCUGACCGAUGUACACUGGUGGAUCGGUGCGCGAUCUACGGCUAGUCGCUAUGCCCAAGAUAUUUAGGGGCAGACCACCCCCGCCGUUGCUACUCUCGAUAGGCGGCAGCAGCAGUGGCAUCAUCGUCAUCGUCUUCCUGCGCUGCGCGUAGUGCCGCCCAAUUCUCCACGUUGACCGGCAAACUGACAGACGCGCGACUGGUGUGUGUAUAUGUAUGUGUGUGUAUAUGUAUGUGUAUGAAUAUGUAUGUGUAUGAAGAUGUAUGUGUAUGAACGAGAAGCACGACAAGCGAAUGACACUUGUUCAUUCGAGUCGAUCUUUGAGAUGGCUUUGGACUGGCGGUUUUCGAGGGGAGGCUUAGCGUCCAAUGCUUAUUUACGACCUAUACACAAUUAGGGAUCAUCAGUGGUGGGAUGGGUGAUGGCUACAGCUGGUGGGGGUAGUCGGGUAGAAAAUCGUAGGGAACGAGACAUGACAGGCAUAAAACAAUUAAUAAAUAUCGAAUUUUGAUACCGGCCCGUAGUCAUCGAGGGUAAUAGAGAAGAGGCGAAAGAAGAUAAAUUGGAUAGAAGUGGUGGACAAAGUGAUCCUUGGAUACGAUCUGUGCGCAAACGCACUUUUAAAGAGUGGCAGACCCAUAGAAGUAAAGCUGACUUAGCUGGCGGCCGAGAAUAACUAAGCGAAUAUAUUAUCUCGGUUAUACGGCGAUAUUAACUAAGUACGACAAACGUUUUACGAUUCCGGUUUACGGUACGGUUAACAUUUUAUAUCCAGUACUGCUCCAUCUGACUGUUUUAGACAAGUAGGUAGAAACGAUAGCUACUAAUCAUACUGGGUCCAUCUCCU